GCCUGCCUAGCUCAAUCGGAUAGAGCGUCAGACUUUCAUGGGCUAUGUAACAUUGAGUGAUCUGAAGGCUGCGAGUUUGACCCUCGUGGUGGGCU